rnacentral:rRNA from 1 species
AGGACGAACGCUGGCGGCGUGCCUAACACAUGCAAGUCGAACGAGAAAGUGGAGCAAUCCAUGAGUAAAGUGGCGCACGGGUGAGUAACACGUGACUAACCUACCCUUGAAUGGGGGAUAACCUAGAGAAAUCUGGGCUAAUACCGCAUAAUACCUUCGGGUCAAAGGAGCAAUUCGCUUAAGGAGGGGGUCGCGGCCGAUUAGUUAGUUGGCGGGGUAAUGGCCCACCAAGACUAUGAUCGGUAUCCGGCCUGAGAGGGCGCACGGACACACUGGAACUGAAACACGGUCCAGACUCCUACGGGAGGCAGCAGUGGGGAAUUUUGCGCAAUGGGGGAAACCCUGACGCAGCAACGCCGCGUGGAGGAUGAAGUCCCUUGGGACGUAAACUCCUUUCGAUCGGGACGAUUAUGACGGUACCGGAAGAAGAAGCCCCGGCUAACUUCGCGCCAGCAGCCGC